rnacentral:rRNA from 1 species
GACGAACGCUGGCGGCGUGCCUAAUACAUGCAAGUAGGACGCAGUUGCGAACGGGUGAGUAACGCGUAGGUAACUACCUAUUAGAGGUGGCUAACUAUUGGAAACGAUCGCUAAUACCGCAUACUAGUAGAUCGACCUGCUUUGUAUUAGCUAGUAGGUAGGGUAACGGCCUACCUAGGCAACGAUACAUAGCCGACCUGAGAGGGGGAUCGGCCACACUGGGACGUGGGCACGGCCCAGACUCCGACUGGAGGCAGCAGUAGGGAAUCUUCGGCAAUGGGGGGAACCCUGUCCGAGCAACGCCGCGGGAGGGAAGAAGGGUUUCGGAUCGUAAAGCUCUGUUGUUAAGGAAGCGGUACUUAACCAGAAAGGGACGGCUAACUACGUGCCAGCAGCCGCGGUAAUUC